GAUGAACGCUGGCGGCGUGCUUAACACAUGCAAGUCGAACGGAAAGGCCCAAGCUUGCUUGGGUACUCGAGUGGCGAACGGGUGAGUAACACGUGGGUGAUCUGCCCUGCACUUCGGGAUAAGCCUGGGAAACUGGGUCUAAUACCGGAUAGGACCACAUUUUGGAUGGUGUGGUGGAAAGUUUUUCGGUGUGGGAUGAGCUCGCGGCCUAUCAGCUUGUUGGUGGGGUAAUGGCCUACCAAGGCGUCGACGGGUAGCCGGCCUGAGAGGGUGUACGGCCACAUUGGGACUGAGAUACGGCCAGGACCCCUACGGAGGCAGCAGUGGGGAAUAUUGCACAAUGGGCGCAAGCCUGAUGCAGCGACGCCGCGUGGGGGAUGACGGCCUUCGGGUUGUAAACUCCUUUCGCUAGGGACGAAGCGUUAUGUGACGGUACCUGGAGAAGAAGCACCGGCUAACUACGUG
rnacentral:rRNA from 1 species